rnacentral:sRNA from 1 species
ACUGGGCGCAGCGGCGCACACCUGUAAUCCUAGCAGCUUGGGAGGCUGAGACAGGAGGAUUGCGAGUUCAAAGCCAGCCUCAGCAAAGGUGAGGCACGAAGCAACUCAGUGAGACCCUGUCUCUA